rnacentral:lncRNA from 11 species
GGCAGAUUGUAUAUGUGAAUAGCCAUAGAAAUGCAACCCUUGUGGAUAUGAUGAUGGGAUAACAAGGUCAAUCCGCCAGCACAACUAAUGGCUGUCUGGGUCCCUAGGGUUCUGUCUGAAAAGGGAUGGCUGAACAUGUGGUGCUGCUUUUCAUACUUGAGCAGCAGUUUCUCCCUCAGGACUUGAUUCCCAGCUGUGAUGUGAAGUGAUGGGCACUUCUAUGGAGGCAGUCUGUUCCCGAAUACUGAUGCUCCAAUUCUUUGUCCAGGCUUGUUAUAGAGAAGCAGUUAAGAAGAAGUGGUUACACGCUGCGAUUUUGAAGUUACCCCAAGUAAAAAAAAAUAAGAAUGCAAAUUGGGUGGUGACUGUGCUAGCCAGUGUGAUGGUUCAGAACAUGGAGCAGAACUGGAGAAAUCUUGCAAAAUAUGCAGCAUCUGAUGGGAUUUAAGAAAUGGUACUAGGUCUUUAAAAAUUAAACGGGAUGAUACAGUGUGCUUAAAAGACGUUUGCCUCCCCCCUUUUUGCAACUCAUGUGAUGAGGUCCUGAGUCAAGAGCAGGUUUUGGGGCCAAAAUUAUGAAAUUUGAUAUUAUCUGUUGAUAAGCUGAAGAUUAUUCCAUAGAGAGGUGAAAGCACCAAUGCUAUCUCAAGGGACCAGCUGACCCUGGCUGCCAACUCUAUUUUCCUGCCCAAGUAUUCAAAAAGGUCAUAAGCAUCACAACAUUGGAAUGCAUAGAAGAGUUUGAUACUUUCUUUAGGUUCUAUCUACUAGAAUGGACUAAUCCCUUUCCUCCCACCACUCUGUUCAUAAAAAGUUAUUCUAUUUUUUGAGAACAGUUAAUAAGUCUAUAGAUAAGCUGACCCAGGUUUUUGUGGCUAAUUUGUUGACUAAAAUUUCUAGACUUAUACAUUAGUAUAUUGCUUUCCUUGCC